AUUCGCGGCUCGUGCGUCACGACGCCGCCAGCUGAUCGGAGACUGGAGCCGGUGUGUGCUGGGCGCUGGGAAGAGACAGAGCGGUCGGCCGUGCGGACAGGUCGCAGUGAUUUUGCUCCUCUGUCCUCAGCAACCCCCGCACCCAGCAUCAGGAACCUGUGCCUCCCACACCCUCACCUGGCUGAGCCGCAGUAGUUCUUCAGUGGCAAGCUUUAUGUCCUGACCCAGCUAAAGCUGCCAGUUGAAGAACUGUUGCCCUCUGCCCCUGGCUUCGAGGAGGAAGAGGAGAAGCAGCAGCUUUGCCGAUCAUCCGGAAGGAUAGUGAGACUCUGCUCAAUACUGUGCAGGCAAGAAAUUGUCUCCUGCAGCAGCCAUCAGGGGGGAUGGGUUGUAUGAUGUGAGUCCCUUCUGCUGCCUCUAGCUCCUGCUUCAUUCUCACGUAUGGGCUUGGUCUCUGAUUGUGGUUCACCUUUGGCCCAGUCUUCCUAACAGAAGAUGGGUUCAGGGGGUACAGGAGGCUGUUUGUUGUAUUUGGCAGGAGGAGGAGUUCUAGCCUAUUCCCCAUUUGUGAGAAACUGAAAGUCAUAGGGGAGACUAGAUUCUCUAAUCCAGCCCCACUGCAGUCUAAGAUGAGGGAUAGGAUGUGUAAGGGACUGUAGCAGACGAGGUGGGGAGGCUGAGUCUGCUCACACAUUACGACAAAGAUUGCCCUUCCCUCGACCUCGCUUGCUUUCUUUCCUCCUCCCUUCCCUGGCCACAGUGUGUCCCUCCAGCACUGGGUACAUGGCUCUGCUGUCCUCAUCCAACGUGGAGCCUGAGAGGUGAGAAAGGGCAGCCUGGAAGCAACAGAGGCAGGCACAAGACAGUGGAGGACCUGGCCUGGAGCCACAAGGGCCUAUCCGGACAUUGGUCAGAGAGGCACGUAGAAGCCUGGAGAACACCAGGAAAGAGAGCAGCCAGCCAGCCUCAGUGAAAGACACGUGCUUCCAGCCAUCUCCUCUCAGGACCUGCCUUCCUGGGAGAUGAAGGGCCUCCAGGAAGUAUGGUCCUAUCUCUACCCGCAGUUUCUAUAAACAGCCUCAAGGAGCAUGAGCCACCUCUGAAAGGAAAUAAAUACACAGCAAAUUCAAAAGGCGAUUCAAAUGUGUAACACUGUGGGGAGACAUAUCUAUGCCUGGGGUUGUAGCUCAGUUGGUAGGUUUGCUUAACAUGCACCAAGCCCUGGUUCUGUCUUCUGCAUUGCAUAAAACUGGACAGGUUGGCCCAGGCAGGUCUGCAAUCCUGGCACUCUGGAGGUGGUGGCAAAGGAGCCUACAUUCAAGGUAAUCCUCCGCUAUACAGUGAGUUCUGAGCCAGCCUGGGCUACAUGAGACUGUCUCAAAAAAUAAAACAAAAUAAAAUAAAGCAUUGGUUAGUAAUUCAAAGAAGGCAGAUGUGGCUGAAACCGUUUUCCCUGAUCAUAAUACAACAAGCGAAUGAAAGCCAGAAGAAGGCUCCUGUGCCUUGUGUGUGGCAGUACCAACCAUUGUGAGAGAUGCCUUUGGACCUGGUAGUUUGCUGUCUUAAAAAUGUAUCCUAAGGGCUGGUGAGAUGACUCAGUGGGUAAGAGCACCCGACUGCUCUUCCGAAGGUCCGGAGUUCAAAUCCCAGC